rnacentral:rRNA from 1 species
UACGGGGGGGGCAAGCGUUGUUCGGAAUUACUGGGCGUAAAGGGCUCGUAGGCGGCCAACUAAGUCAGACGUGAAAUCCCUCAGCUUAACCGGGGAACUGCGUCUGAUACUGGAUGGCUUGGAUCCGGGAGAGGGAUGCGGAAUUCCAGGUGUAGCGGUGAAAUGCGUAGAUAUCUGGAGGAACACCGGUGGCGAAAGCGGCGCACUGGACCACAUCUGACGCUGAGGCGCGAAAGCUAGGGGAGCAAACAGG